CCCUGGCUUCCCUUCCCUUCAGGGGCAGGAGAAAGCUGAGCCUCUGGUGCUGUGUUUGACAACACAGACACAGCUUGGAGGUCUUGCGGGCUUGGUUCCAGACCCCUGCAGUAAAGUAAAUAUUAAAUAAAGCAAGUUUUGGAGACCCAUGGAGAGACAAUGAUGCUGUUUAAAGGUCAUCCAUCAGAAAAUUUUCCCCUAAUUGUGGGAGGUCAGUCUUUUUGUUCUAUCCAGAAUUUCAAAUGAUUGGAUGAGGCCCACCCACGUUAUAGAGGGCAAUCUGCUUUACUCUACAGAUUAAUAUGGUAAUCUCAUCCAAAAGCACUCUUACAGAAACACCCAGCAUGUUUGACCAAAUAACUG
rnacentral:lncRNA from 10 species